GAUUGAAUGCUUCAUGAAGGGAAUCAAGAGACCGCGUACCAUAAGGCUGAUUCAGGUUUCAACUUGGUAUCUGGUGGCAAAUUAUCAAAGUUGACUGGAUGAAGAAUGAGAAAGUUUAAGCCAUUGGGAAGUGAAUCAAGAAAAGCAUUUUGACAUAUGGAUAAAUGUAUCAUUUGGGAUGAUGAAAGUUGCAGAGAUGUUGUGGUAAUGGAAGUAGCAGACAGGGAUGGCUUGACUUGGAUUGGAUUGGAUUGGGAUGACUUACAAAUUCCUUUAACAUUUGGUUUUACAGAGUGCUUGAGGAAUUUAAGGCUUGAACUGGUUUGACGCCACCCCCGAAGACGAUGCGGAAUUUUUCGGAGGAGGCGGUGAAAGAAGAGUCGUCGUCGUCGGAUAUAUUUUCACUCGAGGCUUCAAUCCGCGUCGGCUGUUGCAGCUACCUACUCAGGCAUUACCAUGUUUUAUUUCCAAGAACUGUAUUACCCAAUGAAGAACAACUCCUGUUGUCUCACUCGAGGGAACGAACAGGUGGUUAUCGACUGGGGAUUUAACGGAGGUAUACAAUAGAAUGUAACAAGAUAGAAAUUUGCAGGCUUGGUGCAAUAAUAAAGUAAGUCUUUUAGUCUGCUACAUAGAAUUACAAUGCAUGUUAACUUUGGUACUCUUUGGGGCAGCUAACCCAUAAGAAACAAGAAUAUAAUUUUCUAUACAGAAAUAUUCAUGUCCAAUUUGUUACAUUUUGGUGUAGUUAACCCUUUUUUACCACCCCUAUUCAUAUACGUGGCUGGUAUUCACGCAUUUGACAUUUUUAUAAUUUUUUUGAGCAAAAGCUGUUUUUGAUGCAAAGAAAGUAGUCGAGUUGGACCACUCGAAUCCAAAUGCAUAUCUGUGCAAAAGGUGAGUAACUUUUGAAAUAACUGAAAUUAAUUUGUUAGUAUGUUAAAAAAAACAUCUCAUCUUCUACAAGUAGAUGUCAUAUACUUAUUUAAUUAACAUGUUUUGUAAAUAAGUAUAGAAAAUCAUUUGAAUGCUCGAUGGCAUGGUGAUGUUUUAAAAGCUUAUAGAAAAAGUUUAGGCAGUCCAUGGUUAAGGUUUCUAAUAUGGAUUUCAAAUAUGAUAUGUCAUUUUAUAAUAAUGAUAAUUAUUUAUAAUAUUAUUUAUCAUUUAUCUCUUUUAAAGGCAUUUAUUAAACAUGUAUCCCAUUUUAUUGGACUCCAUUCCUACAAUGUAAUAUACAAUUAAGUUUGUAGAUUUAUAUUUGAUUAUGUUUGUUGUUUCUAACGUUUGGUUUAUUUUUUUUUUUCAUUUGACCAUUAUUGUUGGGCUGAAUGAAACUAGACUUAACGUGUUGAUGUUCCAAAUGAAGUUGGGCUCAAGUGUAUCUGGGCUGAGUGAAGUUGCACAUAAGGUGGAAAAGGUGCCACUCAUCGAUAUAGUCAUCAUGGAACUUUAGAGAAGAUUACUUCAAAAUAUGGUUUUGAAACUUUAGAGCAGAUUACUUCAAAAUAAUUAAAUGUUUGUUGUUACGAGAACAGCACGAUGAUAUAUAUUUAAUCAGGGAGUUCAUCAUUGAUCAUCGGUUGGUAUUAUUUUUAUCAUCAAAUCGUCUUUGAUUAAUCGGUGAGUACAGGGAGUUCGUCUUCGUCUUCUACAGCGACCUUCAAUCAUUCUGCCAAGGUUCGUACUGUAUUGUAUUGUAUUGGAUGUGAAUUUGGUUUGAUCAAUGAGUAGUAUUGUAUUCGUUCUUGUA